GACGAACGCUGGCGGCGCGCUUAACACAUGCAAGUCGAACGGAAAGGCCUGCUUUCCCUUGUGGAUUGCGGGUACUCGAGUGGCGAACGGGUGAGUAACACGUGAGUGAUCUGCCCCCAACUUGGGUAUAAGCCUGGGAAACUGGGUCUAAUUCCCGAUAGGACUGCAGGGUGGUGCCUGUGGUGGAAAACGAUUUUCUAGUGGUUGGGGAUGAGCUCGCGGCCUAUCAGCUUGUUGGUGGGGUAAUGGCCUACCAAGGCGGCGACGGGUAGCCGGCCUGAGAGGGUGGACGGCCACAUUGGGACUGAGAUACGGCCCAGACUCCUACGGGAGGCAGCAGUGGGGAAUAUUGCACAAUGGGCGGAAGCCUGAUGCAGCGACGCCGCGUGGGGGAUGACGGCCUUCGGGUUGUAAACUCCUUUCGACCGCGAGGAAGCCACCUGGUUGGAGGGGUGGUGACGGUAGUGGUAGAAGAAGCACCGGCUAACUACGUG
rnacentral:rRNA from 1 species